rnacentral:rRNA from 1 species
GACGUAGGGCGCGAGCGUUGUCCGGAUUUAUUGGGCGUAAAGAGCUCGUAGGCGGCUUGUUGCGUCAGCUGUGAAAACCCGCAGCUCAACUGUGGGCUUGCAGCUGAUACGGGCAGGCUUGAGUUCGGUAGGGGAGACUGGAAUUCCUGGUGUAGCGGUGAAAUGCGCAGAUAUCAGGAGGAACACCGGUGGCGAAGGCGG